GCCCCGGGGUGGAGCUGCUCAUGGGCAGCUUGCCUACUCCCACCCCUCUCUGUCUGUCCCAGCCCUCCUGUAGGUCAUUUUUGAGAGCUGAAGGACACAGCUGCCAAAGAAAUACCAUGGGGCACAGCACUGUGGACCUUGGAGUGGAGGAUGGUGGGGAAGACAGGGGCAGCUUGCUUCAGGGUCUCACAAGAGCAGAGGGCAUGGUGCCUACAGCAAAGCCAGUCCACCAUGGGACUGCUGGCCUGUGCCUGCUGCUCAGUGGGGCAGGCAGGAUAUGCAGAGGGGCUGGCCUGUCCCCAUGGUCCUGAUGACGGGACUAGCUUCAGGAGAAGGUUGAGCUUGUUUGCAUGGCAGAGCUCCUGCUGACUACCUUCAGGGCUUGGCAGGUGGAAUUGCUCAA